AACGAACGCUGGCGGCAUGCCUAACCCAUGCAAGUCGAACGAUGCCUUCGGGCAUAGUGGCGCACGGGUGCGUAACGCGUGGGAAUCUGCCUUUCGGUUCGGAAUAACUCAGGGAAACUUGAGCUAAUACCGGAUAACGUCGCAAGACCAAAGAUUUAUCACCGAAAGAUGAGCCCGCGUAGGAUUAGCUAGUUGGUGAGGUAAAGGCUCACCAAGGCGACGAUCCUUAGCUGGUCUGAGAGGAUGAUCAGCCACACUGGGACUGAGACACGGCCCAGACUCCUACGGGAGGCAGCAGUGGGGAAUAUUGGACAAUGGGCGAAAGCCUGAUCCAGCAAUGCCGCGUGAGUGAUGAAGGCCUUAGGGUUGUAAAGCUCUUUUACCCGGGAAGAUAAUGACGGUACCGGGAGAAUAAGCCCCGGCUAACUCCGUG
rnacentral:rRNA from 1 species